CAGUAGCCGCGGUAAUACGUAGGGCGCAAGCGUCGUCCGGAAUUAUUGGGCGUAAAGGGCUCGCAGGCGGUUUCUUAAGUCUGAUGUGAAAGCCCCCGGCUCAACCGGGAAGGGUCAUUGGAAACUGGGAAACUUGAGUGCAGAAGAGGAGAGUGGAAUUCCACGUGUAGCGGUGAAAUGCGUAGAGAUGUGGAGGGACACCAGUGGCGAAGGCGACUCUCUGGUCUGUAACUGACGCUGAGGAGCGAAAGCGUGGGGAGCGAACAGGAUUAGAGACCCCCGUAGUCCCUGUCUCUUAUAC
rnacentral:rRNA from 1 species